rnacentral:rRNA from 1 species
UACGUAUGGGAGCAAGCCGUUGUCCGGAAUCAUUGGGCGUAAAGCGCGCGUAGGCGGCCCUGUAAGUCCGUUGUGAAAGUCAAAGGCUCAACCUUUGAAAGCCGAUGGAUACUGCAGGGCUAGAGUCCGGAAGAGGCGAGUGGAAUUCCUGGUGUAGCGGUGGAAUGCGCAGAUAUCAGGAGGAACACCAAUAGCGAAGGCAGCUCGCUGGGACGGUACUGACGCUAAGGCGUUCGAAAGCGUGGGGAGCGACAGG